AAGAUUUUAAGUUAAAAAAACUUAAACCUUCAAAGUUUACUAUAUAAAUUUAUUUUAUAAAUCUUA
rnacentral:tRNA from 1 species